rnacentral:rRNA from 1 species
CGGGGAAUAUUGCACAAUGGGCGCAAGCCUGAUGCAGCGACGCCGCGUGGGGGAUGACGGCCUUCGGGUUGUAAACUCCUUUCGCCAGGGACGAAGCGUUUUGUGACGGUACCUGGAGAAGAAGCACCGGCUAACUACGUGCCAGCAGCCGCGGUAAUACGUAGGGUGCAAGCGUUGUCCGGAAUUACUGGGCGUAAAGAGCUCGUAGGUGGUUUGUCACGUCGUCUGUGAAAUUCCACAGCUUAACUGUGGGCGUGCAGGCGAUACGGGCUGACUUGAGUACUGUAGGGGUAACUGGAAUUCCUGGUGUAGCGGUGAAAUGCGCAGAUAUCAGGAGGAACACCGAUGGCGAAGGCAGGUUACUGGGCAGUUACUGACGCUGAGGAGCGAAAGCAUGGGUAGCAAACAGGAUUAGAUACCCUGGUAGUCCAUGCCGUAAACGGUGGGCGCUAGGUGUAGGGGCCUUUUGGGGUUUCUGUGCCGUAGCUAACGCAUUAAGCGCCCCGCCUGGGGAGUACGGCCGCAAGGCUA